rnacentral:rRNA from 1 species
AUUGAACGCUGGUGGCAUGCCUUACACAUGCAAGUCGAACGGUAACAGGUUUUCGGAUGCUGACGAGUGGCGAACGGGUGAGUAAUACAUCGGAACGUGCCUAGUAGUGGGGGAUAACUACUCGAAAGAGUGGCUAAUACCGCAUGAGAUCUACGGAUGAAAGCAGGGGAUCGCAAGACCUUGUGCUACUAGAGCGGCCGAUGGCAGAUUAGGUAGUUGGCGGGAUAAAAGCUUACCAAGCCGACGAUCUGUAGCUGGUCUGAGAGGACGAUCAGCCACACUGGGACUGAGACACGGCCCAGACUCCUACGGGAGGCAGCAGUGGGGAAUUUUGGACAAUGGGCGAAAGCCUGAUCCAGCAAUGCCGCGUGCAGGAUGAAGGCCUUCGGGUUGUAAACUGCUUCUGUACGGAACGAAAAGCCCCGGGUUAAUACCCUGGGGUCAUGACGGUACCGUAAGAAUAAGCACCGGCUAACUACGUGCCAGCCGCCGCCGUAA